UACGUAGGGUGCGAGCGUUAAUCGGAAUUACUGGGCGUAAAGCGUGCGCAGGCGGCGCCGCAAGUCAGGCGUGAAAUCCCCGAGCUUAACUUGGGAAUGGCGCUUGAAACUACGGUGCUGGAGUGUGGCAGAGGGAGGUGGAAUUCCACGUGUAGCGGUGAAAUGCGUAGAGAUGUGGAGGAACACCGAUGGCGAAGGCAGCCUCCUGGGCCAGCACUGACGCGCCUGCACGAAAGCGUGGGGAGCAAACGGG
rnacentral:rRNA from 1 species